rnacentral:rRNA from 1 species
UGGGGAAUAUUGCACAAUGGGCGAAAGCCUGAUGCAGCAACGCCGCGUGAGUGAUGAAGGCCUUCGGGUUGUAAAGCUCUGUCUUUUGGGACGAUAAUGACGGUACCAAAGGAGGAAGCCACGGCUAACUACGUGCCAGCAGCCGCGGUAAUACGUAGGUGGCAAGCGUUGUCCGGAUCUACUGGGCGUAAAGGAUGCGUAGGCGGAUUUUUAAGUGAGAUGUGAAAUACCCGGGCUUAACUUGGGUGCUGCAUUUCAAACUGGGAAUCUAGAGUGCGGGAGAGGAGAAUGGAAUUCCUAGUGUAGCGGUGAAAUGCGUAGAGAUUAGGAAGAACACCAGUGGCGAAGGCGAUUCUCUGGACCGUAACUGACGCUGAGGCAUGAAAGCGUGGGUAGCAAACAGGAUUAGAUACCCUGGUAGUCCACGCCGUAAACGAUGAGUACUAGGUGUAGGAGGUAUCGACCCCUUCUGUGCCGCAGUUAACACAAUAAGUACUCCGCCUGGGAAGUACGAUCGCAAGA